CCCUUUCGGCUGCUUACACAUGCAGUCGAGGGGUAUGUUUCUUCGGAGACAGAGACCGGCGCACGGGUGCGUAACGCGUAUGCAAUCUACCUUUUACAGAGGGAUAGCCCAGAGAAAUUUGGAUUAAUACCUCAUAGUAUAGCAGUUUCGCAUGAAACCACUAUUAAAGUCACAACGGUAAAAGAUGAGCAUGCGUCCCAUUAGCUAGUUGGUAAGGUAACGGCUUACCAAGGCUACGAUGGGUAGGGGUCCUGAGAGGGAGAUCCCCCACACUGGUACUGAGACACGGACCAGACUCCUACGGGAGGCAGCAGUGAGGAAUAUUGGACAAUGGGCGCAAGCCUGAUCCAGCCAUGCCGCGUGCAGGAUGACGGUCCUAUGGAUUGUAAACUGCUUUUAUACGAGAAGAAACAUCCCGACGUGUCGGGACUUGACGGUAUCGUAAGAAUAAGGAUCGGCUAACUCCGUGCCAGCAGCCGCGGUAAUACGGAGGAUCCAAGCGUUAUCCGGAAUCAUUGGGUUUAAAGGGUCCGUAGGCGGUUUAAUAAGUCAGUGGUGAAAGCCCAUCGCUCAACGGUGGAACGGCCAUUGAUACUGUUAAACUUGAAUUAUUAGGAAGUAACUAGAAUAUGUAGUGUAGCGGUGAAAUGCUUAGAGAUUACAUGGAAUACCAAUUGCGAAGGCAGGUUACUACUAAUGGAUUGACGCUGAUGGACGAAAGCGUGGGUAGCGAACAGGAUUAGAUACCCUGGUAGUCCACGCCGUAACGAUGGAUACUAGCUGUUGGAAGCAAUUUCAGUGGCUAAGCGAAAGUGAUAAGUAUCCCACCUGGGGAGUACGUUCGCAGAUGAAACUCAAAGAUGACGGGGCCCCGCCACAAGCCGGUGGAGCAUGUGAUUAAUCGAUGAUACCGAAGACUACCAAGGCCUUAAAUUGUGUGAUGAAAUUUGAUA
rnacentral:rRNA from 1 species